CAUGUCCUUUUGAAAAUGAUUUAAGGUCUGAUCUGCUCAGUGAAAUUUAAAUAGCCGCAGUAUUUUGACUGUGCAAAGGUAGCAUAAUAAUUAGUUUCUUGAUUAGAAGCUGGUAUGAAUGAUUGGACAAGAAAAUUACUGUCUCUUUCUUAAUUUAUUUGAAUUUUAUUUUUGAGUGAAAAAGCUCAAAUUUUUAUAAAAGACGAGAAGACCCUAUAGAGUUUGAUAUUUUAUUUAGAAAUAGUUUUUAGUAAAUUAUUUCUGGGGAAGUAUUUAGUUGGGGUGACUAGGAGAUUUAAUAAAUUCUUUUAAAAUUUAAUUGGAUAUAUUCAAUUUUUUAAUCUAAAGUUUUUAAAACUAAAAUAAAUUACCUUAGGGAUAACAGCGUAAUUUUUCUUUAAAGUUCUUAUUACAAGAAAAGUUUGCGACCUCGAUGUUGGAUUAAAAUUAAUUUUUGGUGCAGUAACUAAAAAAUUAGGUCUGUUCGACCUUUAAAAUUUUACAUGAUCUGAGUUUAGACCGGUGUGAGCCAGGUCGGAUUCUAUCUUUAAAUAAUUAUUAUAUUUUAGUACGAAAGGACCAUAUAUAAAUUAAAUUAAUUG
rnacentral:rRNA from 1 species